AUUGAACGCUGGCGGCAGGCCUAACACAUGCAAGUCGAACGGUAACAGGAAGCAGCUUGCUGCUUCGCUGACGAGUGGCGGACGGGUGAGUAAUGUCUGGGAAACUGCCUGAUGGAGGGGGAUAACUACUGGAAACGGUAGCUAAUACCGCAUAACGUCGCAAGACCAAAGAGGGGGACCUUAGGGCCUCUUGCCAUCGGAUGUGCCCAGAUGGGAUUAGCUAGUAGGUGGGGUAACGGCUCACCUAGGCGACGAUCCCUAGCUGGUCUGAGAGGAUGACCAGCCACACGGGAACUGAGACACGGUCCAGACUCCUACGGGAGGCAGCAGUGGGGAAUAUUGCACAAUGGGCGCAAGCCUGAUGCAGCCAUGCCGCGUGUAUGAAGAAGGCCUUCGGGUUGUAAAGUACUUUCAGCGGGGAGGAAGGGAGUAAAGUUAAUACCUUUGCUCAUUGACGUUACCCGCAGAAGAAGCACCGGCUAACUCCGUG
rnacentral:rRNA from 1 species